AUUGAACGCUGGCGGCAGGCUUAACACAUGCAAGUCGAGCGCAUCCUUCGGGGUGAGCGGCAGACGGGUGAGUAACGCGUGGGAACGUGCCCUUUGCUACGGAAUAGCUCCGGGAAACUGGAAUUAAUACCGUAUGAGCCCUUCGGGGGAAAGAUUUAUCGGCAAAGGAUCGGCCCGCGUUGGAUUAGCUAGUUGGUGGGGUAAAGGCCUACCAAGGCGACGAUCCAUAGCUGGUCUGAGAGGAUGAUCAGCCACAUUGGGACUGAGACACGGCCCAAACUCCUACGGGAGGCAGCAGUGGGGAAUAUUGGACAAUGGGCGCAAGCCUGAUCCAGCCAUGCCGCGUGAGUGAUGAAGGCCUUAGGGUUGUAAAGCUCUUUCACCGGAGAAGAUAAUGACGGUAUCCGGAGAGGAAGCCCCGGCUAACUUCGUGCCAGCCGCCGCCGUAAAAC
rnacentral:rRNA from 1 species